GUGCUCCUUUGGCAGCACAUAUAUUAAAAUCACAGAGAAGAUUGGAAUGGCCCCUGGGCAAGGAUGACAUGCAACUUAGUUUUCCCAGCAUCAUAUAU
ensembl:snRNA U6 U6 spliceosomal RNA